UUUCAAUUUUGGGUGCAGGGAUCUACGGCUCACUAGGAUUAAUGACGCUAAAUAAAUAUGUCCUUGAUGUAAGAUAAAAUUCUAAACAAAGAUAUUCAGGUCCCAGUUUACAGCAGGGAACUACGGCAAAAUUCGGGUUGCGUUGUAAACUUAAUCUCGCGAGAUUUUCUUGAAUGUCACGUGACAAGGGCUAAAAUGUACGUUGUGGCUUCAUUUCCGUGGACGCCAUAAAGCAACUUUGGAUUUGUUUUAUUAUUACAGAUUUACACUUUAGGGUCAACCCUCGCAGAAAUAAAAUGCGGGAUGAUAAAUGUUAGAUGUUUUAAAUCAAUUUAAUUAAUAUAAACAAAAUAGCGUCGCUUCUGUUGUUUAUAUCGCCCUAAUUCAUUCAUCGUUUGGAUAGCUGUCAUAUUUUUCUAACAGCAGCCUAAUGAUUGAUGCUUGGAGUUUAAGACAUACAGCAUAGAUCUGCUUGCUGGAAGCCUUGGCAUGGAAUUGCUGAAGAUAGAGAAAGUCGUUGGAAAUGAAAUCAAGUCUCCAUCUGCAGAGAUCAAGCCCAACCCCGUGGUCGCCCCGAAAUACUAGUAUUACUGCUGCCACCAUCUGUAUUAUAGGGAAAAAUGGUAGGGGUGGCCACAGGGGUGGCCAAUGAUUGGCUAAGGGUGGCCACCCCUGGGCCCCCCUCUAGCUCUGCCCCUGCUUCUAAGAAAGCUCAUUUAACUCCUGAUUUCUGUGCACUGGCCUGGCUUUCUACAGAGGUUGACAUCCAAUUUGAAUGAUCACCACGAGGGCCUGCAGUGUUUCCAUUGUCUGAUUAUCUUCAAAGACCUCAAAUCCAAGGAGAGACACAUCAGGAGGAACCAUAGGGAUGAGUAUGCACAUCAUCUGCAACAGAAUAACACGCUGUUUAUGUGCUACAAGUGCAAUAGGCUGUUCUCCACCGCAGAGGAGCUCAGCCAGCACCAACGUACACACAUUACUGAUGAAAAGCCAUUUGCCUGCAGCCUGUGUCAGAAACGAUUCUGCACCUUUUCCGAGCGGAACAAACACAGGCGAAAGGACUGCGGAAAGCGGCGGUAUCUUUGCAAGGAUUGUGGCACCCGGUUCCCCAUUCCCUUUCGCCUCCGCAAACAUCGCAUUGCAAUGCAUCCUGAGAAAGAGGUUGCAGCCGAAAAUGCCGACAUGUUUCAGUGCUCUAAAUGUGGCGUUUGCUUUCAAUCAGAAGAAGAGCUCCUUCAGCACCUGGAGGAAUUUUCGGAUUGUGUUCUCGGAGAGGCACAAGGGAAAAUACGAGGCUAUGAACCCGUUUCCACAUAUCCAGAGGUGGAAGUUAAAAAAAUCAAGCAAGAAAAAGAUGCAAAGCCAUACGAAGGAUGCAGUGACUCAACAGGAACUGCUUCUGUAAAGCCCAAAAUUCCCUGUCCUGAAGAAGACUGUGACUGCACCUUUCCUUCAGUGGAAGCUUUGCGAGGUCACAAAAAAGAGCAGCAUGGACCCUGCGCCUUGAAAGCUCCCAGUUCUGAAUACACCCGCCCUACCUUUGGGGAAAACUGUGCAAGAGAAAGCACUUUAAAGGCUCAUCAAACCUCCCAUAUUAAAAGAGAGGUUGAUGUUGAAAGAGAUGAUAUAGAGGGAGAAAACAUCCCUUUGAUGUCACACGAUUAUGUCAUGCAUGUCGCUAGAUAAAGAAUUUUAAUGUGCUUUAGAAGCAUUAUUUAUUUUCCUUUUUGAGGAAAUACUCAACACUAAACUGGUUCUUAUGUGUGUAAAUAUUCAGUAUUGUUUUUCGAUGGGAUCGUGUCAAAAAGGCAAUUUUAUUGUUUAGAUUGUAUUUGUUUCAUCCUAAAAUGUUGAUCUCGAUAAUGAAGUAGCUGUGUAAUUCUUUUCAGGGUUGUGUGCAAAACUUGGAAAAUAUGUCAUAUAAGCAUGAAAAAUAAAUGAUAGUUCUGUUUACUGGUCUGAAGUGUUGUCUUUAUGUUGCUGAAAUAAAGUGAAUAAGAAUUCUGCUGUCCUUGUAGUAUUAAUUGGUGGUGAGGGGUCUCUUUGUUUCCUUAUAUUUGUUCUUUGGGAUAUUUUGUGAAGUAAAACAAACCCUGAAAUGUUAAGGUCUUUUUUUUUCUGUGUGUCUUUAUAAACUCAUGUGGUAUUA